rnacentral:rRNA from 1 species
GAUGAACGCUGGCGGCGUGCUUAACACAUGCAAGUCGAACGGUGAAGUCGGAGCUUGCUCUGCUGGAUCAGUGGCGAACGGGUGAGUAACACGUGAGCAAUCUGCCCCUGACUCUGGGAUAAGCGCUGGAAACGGCGUCUAAUACUGGAUACGAGCUGCGAAGGCAUCUUCAGCAGCUGGGAAGAAUUUCGGUCAGGGAUGAGCUCGCGGCCUAUCAGCUUGUUGGUGAGGUAAUGGCUCACCAAGGCGUCGACGGGUAGCCGGCCUGAGAGGGUGACCGGCCACACUGGGACUGAGACACGGCCCAGACUCCUACGGGAGGCAGAAGUGGGGAAUAUUGCACAAUGGGCGAAAGCCUGAUGCAGCAACGCCGCGUGAGGGACGACGGCCUUCGGGUUGUAAACCUCUUUUAGCAGGGAAGAAGCGAAAGUGACGGUACCUGCAGAAAAAGCGCCGGCUAACUACGUG